GCCCCGUCUAAAUAUAAACCUUCAAAUGGUAUAUAACUGUAUACAGAAAGGAACUUCUUCACAAAGGAACCAGAACUCGGCGAAAACAGUUGCAAGAGAUACUUUAGACGUAAAGAAGAAUUAAAGAAACAAAAAAACGUAUCGAAUUUUCUGUUAUAAGAACUACUUUUUUACAGAUAAUAAGAAGAACAAGGUUCGAUAGAAUGGCUUCCACAAAAGUUGUCUUUUUAUUGGUCUGUUUAGUUCUGUUAGCUGUCCUGGAAACUGGACAAUGCCAGAGGCGGAAGAGAUUAUGUAGAAUGAACAGAGCUAAAGGCACAUGUGGAGAAAUUAUGCAAAGAGCUGGCGGCGCUGGUGUUCCGGCAGUUGGAAGGUGUGCCCAGAAAGAUGGCACGUGCGAAACUCUGCAGAUAAGGGGGAGAACAAGGUGUAUUUGUGCAAUCAUAUUUGAUGUUUAGAUGUAUAGGUCAAGCUAAGAAUAAAUAUUUGCAGCAUAGAUGAUGAAAACAAUAUAUCCUUUAAUACUACGGCUCAAGCUUUAAAGUGAAGGAACAGAUCCUCUGACGUAUGCAAGCCUAAUUUUCAUGUUAAAGCCGUAGCAGAAAAUGUUCAAUUAGCAUAAAAACUUCUUUUUUCCACUGGAACCGCAAAUGCAAUAACGGGAUUAACAAGGCAGUUCACGUGUUGUUAAUACAUGAUUUUUUUUUUAUUUGAAAUGCUGACCAACACAUUCUUUUUAUACCAGCAACUUGGGAUUGAACGAGAUACAUUCUGAAAAAAAGACAUAUUAGGCCUACAGACACAGUCUGUUCAACCUUUCAACGGAAUAUACCAUUUUCUUUUAUGUAAAGGUAUGCGAGUUACAUAUUACUUUAACAUACACACAUAUCAUGUGCUAUUUCAUGCGAUCCUUUAUUUAUUAUAACUGUACAGUUGUUAUGCGGAUAUAGGUAUGAACCUCUUUAUUGUGCAAGCAUUAUAUUGUCAUAUCCUAAACGUCCCGUCCGGACACAGGCCCAUUAGAUCGUUUACAUGAUUAAAUGUUUGUUUUGUAUUUCAUAUGCUCAAUAUCGUUAAAUGCCUUUAUGUGUAUAUAUUUCAGUCUGUUAUUUGUCAUUAUUUUUACUUACCAAUGGGAUUUUCCCACAUGAGUUUGUUCUUAUUUCAGCGUUAUUAUUGUCAUUUGAUAUGAUCAUGUAUAGCUUACAUGAAACACAUACCAGCUCCUGUUGUUAGUGACUAAUGCAUUUCAUGUUUCAAGUGUUUAUAAGUGUACUGAUAAGUGUAAUAUAUUUGUUAAAUUUACAUUGAUACAUUUAUGUAUGAUAUUUUGCUUUAAAUUAACCAGUGUUUAAACUUCAGAAUAAAAGAUAUAGUUGUUUUUGAAAAAAAA